rnacentral:rRNA from 1 species
AUUGAACGCUGGCGGCAGGCCUAACACAUGCAAGUCGAACGGUAGCACAGAGAGCUUGCUCUCGGGUGACGAGUGGCGGACGGGUGAGUAACGUCUGGGAAACUGCCCGAUGGAGGGGGAUAACUACUGGAAACGGUAGCUAAUACCGCAUAACGUCGCAAGACCAAAGUGGGGGACCUUCGGGCCUCACACCACCGGAUGUGCCCAGAUGGGAUUAGCUAGUAGGUGGGGUAAUGGCUCACCUAGGCGACGAUCCCUAGCUGGUCUGAGAGGAUGACCAGCCACACUGGAACUGAGACACGGUCCAGACCCCUACGGGAGGCAGCAGUGGGGAAUAUUGCACAAUGGGCGCAAGCCUGAUGCAGCCAUGCCGCGUGUAUGAAGAAGGCCUUCGGGUUGUAAAGUACUUUCAGCGGGGAGGAAGGCGGUGAAGUUAAUAACUUCACCGAUUGACGUUACCCGCAGAAGAAGCACCGGCUAACUCCGUGCCAGCAGCCGCCGUAA